rnacentral:rRNA from 1 species
AGGACGAACGCUGGCGGCGUGCUUAACACAUGCAAGUCACGGGGGGCUCGCAAGAGCUAACCGGCGAACGGGUGAGUAACACGUGGGUGACCUGCCUUCGAGUGGGGGAUAACGUCCCGAAAGGGACGCUAAUACCGCAUGACAUCCUGCUCUUGAACGAGUGGAGAUCAAAGCUGGGGAUCGCAAGACCUAGCGCUCAAAGAGGGGCCCGCGCCUGAUUAGCUAGUUGGUGGGUAACGGCUCACCAAGGCUUCGAUCAGUA